rnacentral:SRP_RNA from 1 species
GCCAGGCACGGUGGCUCAUGCCUGUAAUCCCAGCACUGUAGGAGGCUGAGGCGGGUGAAUCACCUGAGGUCAGGAGUUCCAUAUCAGCCUGACCAAUAUGGUGAAACCCCGUCUCUA